rnacentral:rRNA from 1 species
UACGAAGGGUGCAAGCGUUACUCGGAAUUACUGGGCGUAAAGCGUGCGUAGGUGGUUCGUUAAGUCCGAUGUGAAAGCCCUGGGCUCAACCUGGGAAUGGCAUGGGAUACUGGCGGGCUAGAGUGCGGUAGAGGGUGGCGGAAUUCCCGGUGUAGCAGUGAAAUGCGUAGAUAUCGGGAGGAACAUCGGUGGCGAAGGCGGCCACCUGGACCAGCACUGGCACUGAGGCACGAAAGCGUGGGGAGCAAACAGG